CCCCGGGAUCGCCGAGGGACCGGGAGCGGACGCGGGCGGCGGGGGGAUGACGCUGAGGUCUCUACCGGCCCUUGAUCUGGGAGGCCGCAGUCAGGGGUUGGGACUGUCUCGAAUGAUCCCGGUGGGUGAGCCGGGGUCACGGUUUUCACCCUCGGUGCCCAGCAAUCCUGGGAACAGCCACCCCCGGCCCAACUCCGUUUUCUGUUUUGUCGGCUUGAACUUCAGAUUCUCGCCCACGGCGCAGUGGAAAGCUUUGCAGAGCGAGGUUUGGGGGUCACUUGCCCCCUGGGGGGAUGAGUGACCUUGGGAAGGUCGUUGCCCUUUCCCCGGCGUGGGAAAUGGAUGGGGGGUUGGGGGGCAGGGCGGUCAGACUUGUCCGGGGAGAUCGUCUGUCACCUUCUAACCACCCCCCGCCCCCCCGGACAUAAUGGAAUGUCAGUGCAGUUCGCUGAGGACCCCUACAAUUGUGACCCCCAUAGUAACUGGAUUUGUGUGUCUCUUUGCGGCUUGCCCAUAUUAGGCGCUUAAUUAAUUUUAGUUAACUGAUCAUUGAAUUAACCACAGGCAAAUUACCUUCGGAUUUCACCUCCAUAAAUCCGGACCCCCGCAAUUCCUUUGACAGGCGGAAGGAGGACUAUGGCGAUGAUUAAUAAUCGUGCUGCAAGUUCUUCUGGCCAAAGGAAUGUGUGUUUUUCAGAAGUUCAGAGGUUAUUCUCUAGUUCAGCCUUUCUGUUUCACACAUGGGGAGACUAAGGAUCAGAGAAGUUGGUUCACCCAUCCAAACACGCACAGCACAGCUGAAAAGACAGGUAAAAGCCAGGAGUAUUUGUUCAUUUACUUACUAAAGCCGGGGACAGUGAAACUAGGUAGGGCUUAGGAUAGAAGCAACAGGAGAGAGCCUGGAUGGGGCUGCUUUGGCUCUAGAAAUGGUAUAGGAAAGAAAUUAGCUUUGGUGGGACUGCUGUCAGCUCACUGGAGAGUCAGAGAAAAGGGAGCUGGGAGACAGAUUAGGGGCUUAGCCCAGGACAGCUCCCACUGUCCAUUGCUCCCCUGGUUGCAAAUCUUCACGGUGCCCUUAGAAUUUAGGAGAUACUUGCCCGAGGGGGGCGGGGGCGGGGGCAGAGGGGGGAAGGCAAAGGCAUGGGCGUGCUUUCUGGAGGGAGAGCGCAAGAAAAGCCAGGAUCUCUGACUUCAAACUAGUGCCCCUUCCACCUCACCUAGGUGCUCCUUAACCUCCGGUUUCUGUGGCUUCAGGACCCUCCUGCCUGGCUGAGCUGGUGGGGCGUAUAGUAAAAAUUAGUACUGACUUCAGGGCUCCUUUAGGCACCUUUGCUGCCCUACACAGCCCACAGCAUAACACCAGGGGUGAUGGCCAGGAGGUGUAUACCCCCAAAGCUACAAGCAUUCCUCCUUACAGUGGCGGAAUGGCCACCUUUAUCCAGAGACUCAGCUGUCCUGACAUCAGUCUUAGCAGCAGCUGGUCGUUUUUCACAGUUACCCAAGUCUUGCACUAAGCUUUUCUCAGCCAAGACAACAGCAGACGGAUCGCGUAGUCCAAACCCAUGGAAAUCCCUUUUCUCAUCUUUGGAAGGCUGAAUAUGAAGACAGCUCAGACUGAGAGGACUGUCUGCGGCUGCCUCGGGCCAUCCCAACUGGCUGAUUUGAGGAGGGGUCUGGGAUCCGCCACCUUCCUCUCUGAUUCCAACUUGGAGCUAAAACAGCAGAAGCAGCAGCUCUGCCCCCUGGUGGACAUGUGAGGCAGAGCGCCUCGAAUUUCAGAAGCCGCAUCUUGGCGCAGAAAACACUUCUGUUUUUCCCCCUCCUUGUCUGGACUGCUUUUUUCCUGCCUGCUAGCCAAACCCUGCCUCCCCGCACUCUCUUCAAAUUCUAUUUCAAAUUCCACCUCCUUCAUAACUUUCCUGACUCUCCUCUCCUAUGUGUCUUUUGAAAUACAGUUGUACACAGACCCAGCACACAGCUCCCUCUUACAUGCUGUUUUUACUGUUGUUUCCUUGAAGCCUGGGGCCAUGUCUUGUGCAUCUUUUGUGUUCACAGUGCCCGGCACAGGGCCGGGGACAAAAACUGCUCUCAAUAAGCUGAUUAAGUGCUUAAUUAAUGGGUUAAUUUCUACAGAAGCAGCUCUAGGCCCUGGCUUCAGUUAACCUUCCAGAACUCUAAGUUCUUUGGGGGAAUCUAGAUAGUGAUCUAAUCAAAUGCAGCCUUGCACAAUCAGGAGUUUCACAAAGCAGUUUCACAAGGGAACACCACCACCACCACCCAGGGAGGGGUGAGGAAGUUUGAAGUGGACUCUCAGAGGAAUGAGGAGGAAGGUGGCGACAUGGGAGAGUCACAGGAUGAAAAACUAGGAAAGGGAGCGUCUGCUCCAGGGAUGAGAGAGGCAGCACAGGCUCUGGAGCCAGUUUUAGAUCCAGAUGCCACCACUCGCUGUGCGGCCUUGGGCAGGUUUCCUCUCUGUGCCUCAGUCUUGUCAUCUGUAAGCACAAGUACCCAUCUCAUAGUGAGAUGAUGAGGAAAAAUGGAGUUGAUAAUUUGCAAAGUGCCAGAAUAGUGCCUGGCACAUAGUAAGUGCUAUAUAACAGUUUGUAAAUGAAUUUUUCAGCUUAGCUGUCAUGUAAAUGGAAUAGGGGGACAUUAUAUGAUCUCUCCGUUCUCUUCUGCACCGACCUCCCAGGGCAGUGCACGAGCUUUGGGGUCAGUCAGGUCUGGGUUGGCUCUUGUCUCUGUUAGCAGUUAUGUGACCUUGGGCAGAUCACUCUGCUUCUUGGAACCUCCAUUUUCUUAUCUGAGAAAUGGGGAUAAUUGUGUCUCCCUAAAAAGACUGUCGUGUGCAUUACAUUGCUUGUAAAUGCCUGGUAUAGAAGGAGCUUAAUAAACAGAAGCUAUAGCCAGAUCGGCAUGGCUCGGUGGUUGAGUGUCGACAUAUGAAACAAGAGGUCACGGUUUGAUUCACACGCUCA